GAUGAAGAACGUAGCGAAAUGCGAUAAGUAGUGUGAAUUGCAGAAUUCAGUGAAUCAUCGAAUCUUUGAACGCACAUUGCGCCCCUUGGUAUCCCGAGGGGCAUGCCUGUUCGAGCGUCAUUUCACCACUCAAGCCUGGCUUGGUGUUGGGCGACGUCCCCUUUGGGGACGCGCCUCGAAACGCUCGGCGGCGUGGCACCGGCUUUAAGCGUAGCAGAAUCUUUCGCUUUGGAAGUCGGGGCCCCGUCUGCCGGAAGACAUACUCGCAAGGUUGACCUCGGAUCAGGCAGGGAUACCCGCUGAACUUAAGCAUAUCAAUAAGCGGAGGA
rnacentral:misc_RNA from 1 species